UACAGAGGGGGCAAGCGUUAUUCGGAAUUAUUGGGCGUAAAGGGCUCGUAGGCGGCCAACUAAGUCGGACGUGAAAUCCCUCAGCUUAACUGGGGAACUGCGUCCGAUACUGGAUGGCUUGGAUUCGGGAGAGGAAUGCGGAAUUCCAGGUGUAGCGGUGAAAUGCGUAGAUAUCUGGAGGAACACCGGUGGCGAAGGCGGCAUUCUGGACCGACAUUGACGCUGAGGAGCGAAAGCCAGGGGAGCAAACGGG
rnacentral:rRNA from 1 species